AUAUUUUCCUUGGGCAUAACUGGGCAAAUCCAAUGCAAACUCCACCUGCUAUUGUACCUGAGUGAUAAGUAAAAGAUGUCACUUAAUCUCGCUAUUUGCUGGGAGUUCCUAAUAUAUUAGGAUAAUCAGCAGGAAACCUACAGACCUUCGGUGUUAGUAGGAUCUUCAGAGACUAUACGCGAGACAUUGUAUAUUAUUUACUCUGAAGAUAUAGUCCAACCAUUGUAGUGAUACAAUG
rnacentral:ribozyme from 1 species